rnacentral:rRNA from 2 species
CAACGCUUAAAAGAUGGCUUCUCGCUAUCACUUCUGGAUGGACCUGCGGUGCAUUAGCUUGUUGGUGGGGUAACGGCCUACCAAGGCGAUGAUGCAUAGCCGAGUUGAGAGACUGAUCGGCCACAAUGGGACUGAGACACGGCCCAUACUCCUACGGGAGGCAGCAGUAGGGAAUCUUCCACAAUGGGCGCAAGCCUGAUGGAGCAACACCGCGUGAGUGAAGAAGGGUUUCGGCUCGUAAAGCUCUGUUGUUAAAGAAGAACACGUAUGAGAGUAACUGUUCAUACGUUGACGGUAUUUAACCAGAAAGUCACGGCUAACUACGUGCCAGCAGCCGCGGUAAUACGUAGGUGGCAAGCGUUAUCCGGAUUUAUUGGGCGUAAAGAGAGUG